AGGCACUUGGAAAGUUUCUUUCACUCUGAGUUUUGGUUGAAAGGAAAGCACCCAAAACUAUAGCCAAAGGAGUCAUUAUACUUCCAGAAAAAUCUCAAAAGUAUUGCAAGCAACAGUAGUAGCUAUUGGAUCAGACCUUAAAGGUGGGGGUGGAAAGAUUUAACCAGUUAGCUCAGUGAAAGUUAAAGUUUUCCCAGAAUAUGGAGGCAGCAAAGUAGUUCUAGACAAAGGUCAUUUCUUAUUUAGAGGUGGUGCCAUUCUUGGAAAGUGUGUAA
rnacentral:lncRNA from 1 species